GCCCCUGUGUCCCCGGCCAGGCACCCGGCUGCCCUCUCUGUCCCACCUUCUCCCUUAGCGAGGCCCUGGUGCUCCGCCCACGCUCCAUCCGAGCUGUUCCCACCACCCCUGCCUCUGCGCUCUCCCUGCCUCCUCCCCGCUCAGCUCUGUGUCAAGACAAGGUCAGAUGUGCCUCCUGUCCAGGCCCCCAACCGGGGGCUGGGCUGGGGCCUCACUGAGCUCCCACCCCCCACGCACGCAGCUUUCUCCAGGAAAGUCGUCACCGUCGGUUCCUACCGAGCUCCCGUACUUUCCACUGCAAUUACGCAUGUGUAUGGAGAUGAUCAUUUUAACAAAAACGAGGCCGGGCGCAUGGCCGCUCUUCACAACCUCUGAAAAGGCAGCGCUGCAGACCAGACAGCCACACGACUUGGAUGCCUUCCACGUCCCGGGGACAUGAGUCAGAUCGCCUGGGAGACGAGGAGAGAAAUCAGACAGGAGCCUGUGACCAGACAGCUCCUAGCACCUCCGGCAAACAGACCUCACAGCACAGCGUCCUCACAAGGA